rnacentral:rRNA from 1 species
UAACCUGCCCAAGAGAUCGGGAUAACACCUGGAAACAGAUGCUAAUACCGGAUAACAACAGAUGAUGCCUAUCAACUGUUUAAAAGAUGGUUCUGCUAUCACUCUUGGAUUGGACCUGCGGUGCAUUAGCUAGUUGGUAGGGUAACUGCCUACCAAGGCGAUGAUGCAUAGCCGAGUUGAGAGACUGAUCGGCCACAUUGGGACUGAGACACGGCCCAAACUCCUACGGGAGGCAGCAGUC